AACGAACGCUGGCGGCGUGGAUAAGACAUGCAAGUCGAACGGGACAGACCGAGUAGCAAUAUUUGGAAUGUUCAGUGGCGAACGGGUGCGUAACACGUGGAUAACAUUCCGGAAGGCGGGGAAUAGCCCAGGGAAACUUGGAUUAAUACCGCAUGUGGCCGCAAGGCUAAAGACGGGGACCGCAAGGCCUGUCACUUUCCGAUUGGUCCGCGGCCUAUCAGCUAGUUGGCGGGGUAAUGGCCCACCAAGGCUACGACGGGUAGCUGGUCUUGGAGGACAACCAGCCACACUGGAAAUGAGACACGGUCCAGACACCUACGGGUGGCAGCAGUCGAGAAUCGUUCACAAUGGGGGCGACCCUGAUGGAGCGACGCCGCGUGGAGGAUAAGGUCUUCGGAUUGUAAACUCCUGUCAUGCGAGAACAAGGUACUCAGGCUAAUAACCUGAUUGUUUGAUGGUACCGCAAGAGGAAGAGACGGCUAACUCUGUGCCAGCCGCCGCCGUAAAAC
rnacentral:rRNA from 1 species